rnacentral:lncRNA from 1 species
UGGGCGGGGCCCCAGGUGCGGCCGCUAAGGAGGAAGAUCAUGUAGGGGCCGGGCGGCGCCACGUUGGCGUUGGGCGGGCCGCGCACGGUCACGGAGCGGUCGCCAUCCACACCCACAUGGUUGUUGUCGUUGUCAGAAUCCAGAAUCUGUACGCGGUAGUGUGUGGGACGCACGUGGGUAAGGCGUAAUGAUAGGUCAGCACCCACACCAACUACAGUAAGAGCUGUUGGUCUCGCUCCGAUGCUCAUCAGCCCCUGCAUGCCUAAACCGCUGCAGUGUGGAUGCCCUACACGGUUGGAUUACGG